CAUGAACUUAGUCUAAAACCUUUGCAAAUAUGUCUUGUAGAUCAAAUGGCCAACGCUCAUGUCAACAUGAACUUCAACGCGUUCCUAGAGAAAACCAAGCUGAAAGAUGAUGGCAACAACUAUACGGACUGGGUCCGGAACCUGAGGAUCAUCCUCAUAGCUGCCAACAAAGCAUAUGUACUAGAAGGACCGCUAGGUGAAGCACCCAUCCCAGAGAACCAAGAAGUUAUGAACGCUUGGCAGUCACGUGCCGAUGAUUACUCCCUCGUUCAGUGCGGCAUGCUUUACAGCUUAGAACCG
rnacentral:rRNA from 1 species